AAAUAAAAACCAUAGCAAAAACAGCAAUAAGCAAUGUCCAUGAACAAGUCCAUAAAAAACCACAGUUACCCUUGAUGAAUCAUGAAAUCUGCUAGCUCCCAGCUAACGACACUUGGAACAACUUGAGAAACUACGAGAAACCCAGCCACUUAAAUCAGGAGGCCUCCACAGGCUUGCACUUGGAACUGGAACGAUGCCUGGUCUGAAGGCAGCUUCAGACCCAGCACUCUUAAAGGAGAGAAAUCUAUUACGAGACACACCUGAAGUUUUUGUUUGCAUUUCUCUCAAUCUUUCUGACCUCAGUAAACUUUGUGCUUCUUCCCUGCUCUGCCAAAUCUGCCCCCUCCUUCUCUCAUUAGGCUGACCAGGUGUCAGAUUCUCUGGGGAACUAAGGCUGGGAGAAAAAGGGAGUAAAACUUCUCCACUCGGUUCAGAAUGAAUGUUCUCAUGAGAACUUUGACUUUCACUUUCCAAGGGUGUAGGAUUUUCGCUAUUCAACCCAUCAUCAGUAUUAACAUCUACACUGGCAUCAGGAAAUACAAUCAAAGAAUCAGGUACAGGGUCACACAGAGGCUGAACCCCAACACUUCCUCCCUCCCUCCCCCAUUCUUAUUUUCAGGGUAGUUCUUUUUUGUGGUUGGUCUUGUUUUGGGGAUAGGUCUUAUUUUCAGAGUAGGUCUUAUUUUGGGGUUAGGUCUUAUUUUCAGGGUAGGUCUUAUUUUUGAGGGAGAUCAUGUUUUGCAGGUAGGUCUUAAUUUCAGGGUAGGCCUUAUUUGCAGGGGAGUAGUACCCUGUAUGCAUUAUUUUCAGGGUAUUUUCUCUUAAUUGUGCAAAGGUUGACUUAUAAGCUUGGGUUUUCUGAAUUGAGUUCCACUGUUUCCAUUCCAUUUUAACCCCUAAAUCCGAUGUUCUUUCCCCCCUUUCUUUCUUGAGCUGGGGACCCAGGAUUUUCGGGCUCUAACCUUUCAUCUGCUACUGGUUCAUAUGGAGAGGUGAGGAAGGACCGUGUUUCCGAUGUGGGAAAAAAUUACCAGAUCAUCAAGAGGAAUAAGACUACUCCGGGUGUCCGGGAUCCAGAGGAGAUUGUCUGCAAAGCCGAAGCUAUGGUCGGGACAAAGAAGUACUACAACGUUUACACCAACAACUGCGAGCAUUUUGCCACAGAGCUGUGUUAUGGAGCUCCAGAGUGUCAACAAACAGUCUGGGCCAAAAUCAUAGGGGGUCUUGUAGUGGCGGCUGGAGUCAUCGUGACUGUAUUCAUGGCAAUUCUAGGAAGAAGGUAGUAACAUCAGCAACUCUGGAGUCGAUUCUGAGAGAGAGGCCUGAUGGACACAUCCCCACAUGACCACGGCUCCUCCGAUUUCCUCCCAUGCAACUCUGAUGUGAAUCCUUUUGGCGUCUCCAGAGCCUAGGACUCCAGUUCCUAACACAAAAAGAUAUCAAAUAAAGGUGCCAAAUCAAUGCAAACAA